UGGGGAAUAUUGCACAAUGGGCGCAAGCCUGAUGCAGCCAUGCCGCGUGUGUGAAGAAGGCCUUCGGGUUGUAAAGCACUUUCAGCGAGGAGGAAGGUGGUGAACUUAAUACGUUCAUCAAUUGACGUUACUCGCAGAAGAAGCACCGGCUAACUCCGUGCCAGCAGCCGCGGUAAUACGGAGGGUGCAAGCGUUAAUCGGAAUUACUGGGCGUAAAGCGCACGCAGGCGGUUUGUUAAGUCAGAUGUGAAAUCCCCGGGCUCAACCUGGGAACUGCAUUUGAAACUGGCAAGCUAGAGUCUCGUAGAGGGGGGUAGAAUUCCAGGUGUAGCGGUGAAAUGCGUAGAGAUCUGGAGGAAUACCGGUGGCGAAGGCGGCCCCCUGGACGAAGACUGACGCUCAGGUGCGAAAGCGUGGGGCAGCAAACAGGAUUAGAUACCCUGGUAGUCCACGCUGUAAACGAUGUCGAUUUUGGAGGUUGUGCCCUUGAGGCGUGGCUUCCGGAGCUAACGCGUUAAAUCGACCGCCUGGGGAGUACGGCCGCAAGGUUAAAAC
rnacentral:rRNA from 1 species